rnacentral:misc_RNA from 1 species
AACUUUUGACAACGGAUCUCUUGGCUCUCGCAUCGAUGAAGAACGCAGCGAAAUGCGAUAAGUAAUGUAAUGCAGAUUUUCAGUGAAUCACGAUCUUUGAACGCACCUGCGCCCCUUGGUAUGCCGAGGGGCAUGCCUGUUUGAGUGUCAUUAAAUUCUCAACUCCAAUCGAUGUGUUUCGAUCCUGGAUCUUGGACUUGGAGCGUGCUUGCGUAUAGUCGGCUCCUCUCAAAUGCAUCGGCGGAAUUGAACCUUUGAUUUCAGGAUGUCAGUGUGAUAACCAAUGUUGCGCUGUCGCACGGGGUCUGAGUCCGCUUACAAUCGUCCUCGGGACAAAGACACCUUAUCAAAUUUGACCUCAAAUCAGGUAGGACUACCCGCUGAACUUAAGCAUAUCAAUAAGCGGAGGCU